rnacentral:rRNA from 1 species
GACGAACGCUGGCGGCGCGCCUAACACAUGCCAGUCGAACGAGCGAGCGAGAGCUUGCUUUCUUGAGCGAGUGGCGAACGGGUGAGUAACGCGUGAGGAACCUGCCUCAAAGAGGGGGACAACAGUUGGAAACGACUGCUAAUACCGCAUAAGCCCACGGUGCCGCAUGGCACAGAGGGAAAAGGAGCAAUCCGCUUUGAGAUGGCCUCGCGUCCGAUUAGCUAGUUGGUGAGGUAACGGCCCACCAAGGCGACGAUCGGUAGCCGGACUGAGAGGUUGAACGGCCACAGUGGGACUGAGACACGGCCCAGACUCCUACGGGAGGCAGCAGUGGGGAAUAUUGCACAAUGGGGGAAACCCUGAUGCAGCGACGCCGCGUGGAGGAAGAAGGUCUUCGGAUUGUAAACUCCUGUUGUUGGGGAAGAUAAUGACGGUACCCAACAAGGAAGUGACGGCUAACUACGUG